AUAUUGACCGUACAAAGGUAGCCUAAUAAAUAGUCUUUUAAUUGAUGACUUGUAUGAAAGAUUGGAUGAAAUAUAGACUGUCUCUUAUUUAUUAAUGAUGAAGUUAAUUUUUUGAUUAAAAAGUCAAAAUUUAUUUAAAAGACGAGAAGACCCCAUAGAGUUUUAUAUUAUUAUUUAAUAAAAUUAUUUUUUAGACUAUUAAUUAAAUUACUUAAUAAUAUUUUAUUGGGGGGAUAGAAAAAUAUAAAUAACUUUUUUUAACUUUAUUUCAUAGAUAAUUGAGUAAUUGAUCCAAAAUUUUUGAUUAUAAGAAAAAAUUACCUUAGGGAUAACAGCGUAAUUUUUUUUUUUAGUUCAAAUAAGAAAAAGAGUUUGCGACCUCGAUGUUGGAUUAAGAUAAAAUUUAUAUGCAAAAGUAUAAAAUUUUGAUCUGUUCGAUCAUUAAAAUCUUACAUGAUCUGAGUUCAAACCGGUGUGAGCCAGGUUGGUUUCUAUCUUUAAAAUAAUAAAAUAUUUUAGUACGAAAGGGAUAAAUAUUUAAAUUAAAUUUAUUUAAUGAAUUUUAUUAAUGUUUAUUUAAAAUUUUAAA
rnacentral:rRNA from 1 species